AUUGAACGCUGGCGGCAUGCCUUACACAUGCAAGUCGAACGGCAGCAUGAUCUAGCUUGCUAGAUUGAUGGCGAGUGGCGCACGGGUGAGUCAUACAUCGGAACGUGCCCUGUAGUGGGGGAUAACUAGUCGAAAGAUUAGCUAAUACCGCAUACGACCUGAGGGUGAAAGUGGGGGACCGCAAGGCCUCAUGCUAUAGGAGCGGCCGAUGUCUGAUUAGCUAGUUGGUGAGGUAAAGGCUCACCAAGGCGACGAUCAGUAGCUGGUCUGAGAGGACGAUCAGCCACACUGGGACUGAGACACGGCCCAGACUCCUAAGGGAGGCAGCAGUGGGGAAUUUUGGACAAUGGGCGAAAGCCUGAUCCAGCAAUGCCGCGUGUGUGAAGAAGGCCUUCGGGUUGUAAAGCACUUUUGUCCGGAAAGAAAUGGCUCUGGUUAAUACCUGGGGUGGAUGACGGUACCGGAAGAAUAAGGACCGGCUAACUACGUG
rnacentral:rRNA from 1 species